GACGAACGUUGGCGGCGUGCUUAAUACAUGCAAGUCAACUGAAGCAGUGGUAGCAAUAUCGCUGUGGAGGUGGCGCACGGGUGAGUAACACGUAGGUAAUCUGCCUUCAGGUCUGGCAUAACUCCGGGAAACCGGGGCUAAUAGCAGAUGAUGCAGCGGCUCUACAUCGAGACAGUUGUUAAAGCUAUGGCGCCUGAAGAUGAGCCUGCGUCUGAUUAGCUAGUUGGCGGGGUAACGGCCCACCAAGGCAACGAUCAGUAGCUGGUCUGAGAGGAUGAUCAGCCACACUGGAACUGAGACACGGUCCAGACUCCUACGGGAGGCAGCAGGAAGGAAUAUUGCUCAAUGGGAGAAAUCAUGAAGCAGCAACGCCGCGUGAGGGACGAAGGGCUUUUGCUUGGAAACCUCUGUAGAGAGAGAAAAAAAUCCCAAUCUAGGGGACAUGAUGGUAUCUCAAAAGUAAGCCCCGGCUAACUACGUG
rnacentral:rRNA from 1 species